GACGAACGCUGGCGGCGUGCUUAACACAUGCAAGUCGAACGGAAAGGCCCUGCUUUUGUGGGGUGCUCGAGUGGCGAACGGGUGAGUAACACGUGAGUAACCUGCCCUUGACUUUGGGAUAACUUCAGGAAACUGGGGCUAAUACCGGAUAGGAUCUCCUGCUGCAUGGUGGGGGUUGGAAAGUUUCGGCGGUUGGGGAUGGACUCGCGGCUUAUCAGCUUGUUGGUGGGGUAGUGGCUUACCAAGGCUUUGACGGGUAGCCGGCCUGAGAGGGUGACCGGCCACAUUGGGACUGAGGUACGGACCAGACUCCUACGGGAGGCAGCAGUGGGGAAUAUUGCACAAUGGGCGGAAGCCUGAUGCAGAAACGCCGCGUGCGGGAUGACGGCCUUCGGGUUGUAAACCGCUUUCGCCUGUGACGAAGCGUGAGUGACGGUAAUGGGUAAAGAAGCACCGGCUAACUACGUG
rnacentral:rRNA from 1 species